GUGUUUCUUGUUGGGAAUAUUUGGCUUUUAUCCAAAAUAUACAGGCGUUCUUUAUGUUGUUCAAUAUAGUAUUAUUUAUGUAACUAUGCACUUACAAUAAGAAAAUUCCUUUGGCGCUUUUGAUUAUGCAUCCUUUAUGAUCAAAUUUAAUUCUGGGAUGUUUUUAAGGGUGCUUCUUCAAGUUGGUCUGCUCACAGAAUAAGAACUGAAAAUGAGAGUCCGUUUGAUGCAAUGAAAGCCGUCAAA
rnacentral:lncRNA from 1 species